UAAAAAAUUUAUUAUAGUUUAUGUAAUUUAUUAUAAUUUUAUUUUACAUAUAAAUUUUUGUGUUAAAAUUAAUUAUUUUAAUAAUAUUUAUUUUAAAUUAAGUAGUAAUUAAUAUUAAAAAUUUAAGAAAUUAAGAUUUAGUAAUAAUUAAAUUAAUAACAAAUUUUGUGCCAGCAGUUGCGGUUAAACAAAAAUUAAAUUAAAUUUUAUUAGUAAUUAAUAAAUAUUUAAAAUUUUUAAUUAAAUAUUAAAUUAUAAGGUGAAAUUUUAAUUUAAUUAAAAUUAAUAUUAUUAUAUAUAUAUUAUUUAAUAAAUUUUAAUUAUAAACUAGGAUUAGAUACCCUAUUAUAUAAAAAUUAAAUUAAUUAUACUAAAAUAUUAUAUUUUUAUUGAAACUUAAAUAAUUUGGCGGUAUUUUAGUUCAUUUAGAGGAAUCUGUUUAAUAAUUGAUAAUCCACGAUUAAAUUUACUUAAUUUAAAAUUUUAUAUAUCGUUGUUAAAAAAAUAUUUUUAAGUAAAAAUAAUAUUUUAAUUUUUAUAUAAAAAUUUAAAUCAGAUCAAGAUGUAGAGAACAAUUAAGAAUAUAAUGGAUUACAAUAAAUUUAUUUAUACGAAUAUUAAUUUGUAAUAAUUAAUUAAAGGUGGAUUUAAGUGUAAUUUUAUUUAUUUUUAUAAAAUGAUUAAAAAUUAAAAUAUGUACAUAUUGCCCGUCACUUUCAUAUAUAAAUUGAAAUAAGUCGUAACAAAGUAGAGGUACUGGAAAGUGUUUCUAGAAAUAA
rnacentral:ncRNA from 1 species